UUGAACGCUGGCGGAAUGCUUUACACAUGCAAGUCGAGCGGCAGCGCGGGGCAACCUGGCGGCGAGCGGCGAACGGGUGAGUAACACAUCGGAACGUACCCAAUCGUGGGGGAUAACACAUCGAAAGAUGUGCUAAUACCGCAUAAGUCCUGAGGGAGAAAGCGGGGGAUCAGCAAUGACCUCGCGCGGAUGGAGCGGCCGAUGUCGGAUUAGCUAGUUGGUGGGGUAAAGGCCUACCAAGGCGACGAUCCGUAGCGGGUCUGAGAGGAUGAUCAGCCACACUGGGACUGAGACACGGCCCAGACUCCUACGGGAGGCAGCAGUGGGGAAUUUUGGACAAUGGGGGCAACCCUGAUCCAGCCAUGCCGCGUGAGUGAAGAAGGCCUUCGGGUUGUAAAGCUCUUUCAGCCGGAAAGAAAUCGCGCAGGCUAAUACUCUGCGUGGAUGACGGUACCGGAAGAAGAAGCACCGGCUCACUACGU
rnacentral:rRNA from 1 species